GACGAACGCUGGCGGCGUGCCUAAUACAUGCAAGUCGCGGGACCGGCGCACGGGUGAGUAACGCGUAUCCAACCUGCCCUUCACCACGGGAUAACCCGGCGAACGUCGGACUAAUACCGUUAGGUGUAGGAUGGGGAUGCUUCCGAUUAGCUUGACGGCGGGGUAACGGCCCACCGUGGCUCCGAUUGGUAGGGGUUCUGAGUGGAAGGUCCCCCACAAUGGAACGGAGACACGGUCCAGACGCCUACGGGAGGCAGCAGUGAGGAAUAUUGGUCAAUGGGCGUAAGCCUGAACCAGCCAAGUAGCGUGCAGGACGACGGCCUAUGGGUUGUAAACUGCUUUUAUGCGGGGAGAGGUACCGCAUGAAUAAGGACCGGCUAAUUCCGUGCCAGCAGCCGCGGUAAUAC
rnacentral:rRNA from 1 species